UACGUAGGGGGCAAGCGUUGUCCGGAGUUACUGGGCGUAAAGCGCACGCAGGCGGUCUCUUAAGUUUGGAGUGACAGUUGGUGGCUUAACUGCCAAAGUGCUUCGAAAACUGAGAGACUUGAGGGCUUCAGAGGGACACGGAAUUCCGGGUGGAGUGGUGAAAUGCGUAGAGAUCCGGAGGAACACCAAAGGCGAAGGCAGUGUCCUGGGAGUACCUGACGCUCGAGGUGCGAAAGCCAGGGGAGCGAACGGG
rnacentral:rRNA from 1 species